rnacentral:tRNA from 1 species
GAAAUAGCUCAGUGGUAGAGCGCUGGUUUAGGGCAUCAGGUCCUGGGUUCAAUCCCCAGUAGCUUCA